rnacentral:piRNA from 1 species
UAGCAAAUCCGAUCACAAAAG